UCAGUCUGGUUUAACUUAGACUGAACUGUGGGUUCAGUCUGGUUUGAACUAGCCUGACCAGAAGCUUUUCCAAACAGGAACGUUUUCAGCCUGACCUUAAAUGUACAGACUGUGUCGGCCUCUUUAAUGUUAACUGGAAGCUGAUUCCAUAAAACAGGAGCUUGGUAACUAAAGGCUCUAGCUCCUACUGUACUUUU